GUGCCAGUGGGGAUUUGAUCAGUCGGGUUGCUGGCUAUAUUACAGGAUUUAUCUGGUCCUGGCUAUAACCAAAGCAUGACUGUAUGGUACGGAAG
rnacentral:pre_miRNA from 1 species